UACGUAGGGGGCUAGCGUUGUCCGGAAUCAUUGGGCGUAAAGCGCGUGUAGGCGGUCCGGUAAGUCCGCUGUGAAAGUCGGGGGCUCAACCCUCGGAUGCCGGUGGAUACUGUCGGGCUUGAGUACGGAAGAGGCGAGUGGAAUUCCUGGUGUAGCGGUGAAAUGCGUAGAUAUCGGGAGGAACAUCAGUGGCGAAGGCGGCCCUCUGGUCCAGUACUGACACUCAAGUGCGAAAGCGUGGGGAGCAAACAGGAGUUAGAAACCC
rnacentral:rRNA from 1 species